AUCAUUACUGAGUGUAAAAACUCCAAACCAUUGUGAACGUACCAAUGUUGCUUCGGCGGCCUCGUCCCGCGGCGCGCCCAGCGUGACCCGGCCCAAGGCGACCGCCGGAGGCACCAAACUCUUGUCUUUAUAGUGGAUUUCUGAGUGGCAUAAGCAAAUAAAUCAAAACUUUCAGCAACGGAUCUCUUGGUUCUGGCAUCGAUGAAGAACGCAGCAAAAUGCGAUAAGUAAUGUGAAUUGCAGAAUUCAGUGAAUCAUCGAAUCUUUGAACGCACAUUGCGCCCGCCAGUACUCUGGCGGGCAUGCCUGUCUGGGCGUCAUUUCAACCCUCAGGGCCCGUCCGCGGGACCUGGCGUUGGGGAUCAGCCCACCCCCUCGGGGGGGGCUGGCCCUGAAAUAUAGUGGCGGUCCUCUCGCGAUCUCCUCUGUGCAGUAGUUAAUACCUCGCAGCUGGAUAGCGGUUGGGCCACGCCGUAAAACCCCCCACUUCUCAAGGUUGACCUCAGAUCAGGUAGGAAUACCCGCUGAACUUAAGCAUAUCAAUAAGCGGAGGA
rnacentral:rRNA from 1 species